rnacentral:rRNA from 1 species
CGAACGAGUUCUCGUUGAUGAUCGGUGCUUGCACUGAGAUUCAACAUGGAACGAGUGGCGGACGGGUGAGUAACACGUGGGUAACCUGCCCUUAAGUGGGGGAUAACAUUUGGAAACAGAUGCUAAUACCGCAUAGAUCCAAGAACCGCAUGGUUCUUGGCUGAAAGAUGGCGUAAGCUAUCGCUUUUGGAUGGACCCGCGGCGUAUUAGCUAGUUGGUGAGGUAAUGGCUCACCAAGGCGAUGAUACGUAGCCGAACUGAGAGGUUGAUCGGCCACAUUGGGACUGAGACACGGCCCAAACUCCUACGGGAGGCAGCAGUAGGGAAUCUUCCACAAUGGACGCAAGUCUGAUGGAGCAACGCCGCGUGAGUGAAGAAGGCUUUCGGGUCGUAAAACUCUGUUGUUGGAGAAGAAUGGUCGGCAGAGUAACUGUUGUCGGCGUGACGGUAUCCAACCAGAAAGCCACGGCUAACUACGUGCCAGCAGCCGCGGUAAUACGUAGGUGGCAAGCGUUAUCCGGAUUUAUUGGGCGUAAAGCGAGCGCAGGCGGUUUUUUAAGUCUGAUGUGAAAGCCCUCGGCUUAACCGAGGAAGCGCAUCGGAAACUGGGAAACUUGAGUGCAGAAGAGGACAGUGGAACUCCAUGUGUAGCGGUGAAAUGCGUAGAUAUAUGGAAGAACACCAGUGGCGAAGGCGGCUGUCUGGUCUGUAACUGACGCUGAGGCUCGAAAGCAUGGGUAGCGAACAGGAUUAGAUACCCUGGUAGUCCAUGCC